GUUACCUGUAAAAGAAAAUCAACACCCAGCCUCUGAUAAUCUGAUUAAGGAAUGCCACAUCAGUCACACAUCAGACAUGCCAGAAGAAGGCUCUAAAAAGAAAUACAGUUAAUUCUUGAACAACACAGAUUUUACCUGUGCAGGUCCAUUUAUAUGGGAAUUUUCCUCUGUCUCUGCCACCCCAAGACGGCAAGACCAACCUUCCUCUUCCUCCUUCCUCCUCAGUUUACUUAACAUGAAGACAGUGAUGAAGAACUUUAUGAUGAUCUACUUCCACUUAAUGAAUAAGACAGGUUUUGCCACGUUGGCCAGGAUGAUCUGGAACUCUUCAACUCUAGUGAUCCACCCGCCUUGGCCUCCCAAAGUGCUAGGAUUACAGGCAUGAACUGCCGUGCCCAGCCUGAAGACAGCUAUUUAAAACAACCAGUCCAGGAGAGACAUGAGUCUCCUCAAGGAGCACCUCUGCCCGGCCACCCCACCGUCUGAGAAGUUAGGAGGGCCUCUGCCCGGCCGCCCCACCAUCUGGGAAGUGAGGAGGGCCUCUGCCCGGCCGCCCCACCGUCUGGGGAGUGAGGAGCGCUGUGCAACCUUGCAAGUGUGAAGUGACAGCCUUGUAUGUGAUCUUUUCUGCCUUCCCCAAGUUUGCAUUUUCGACAUUAAAGUUUACUUUUAAUUAAAAAUAAAUAAAUAAAUAAGU